CCCUUAGAGUUUGAUCCUGGCUCAGGACGAACGCUGGCGGCGUGCUUAACACAUGCAAGUGGAGCGACGAACCGAGGCUUGCCUCGGGGCAAAGCCGCGAACGGGUGAGUAACACGUGGGUAACCUACCCUGUUGAUUGGGACAACCCCGGGAAACCGGGGCUAAUACCGAAUGUGCUCCUUCCACAUCAGUGGAUUGAGGAAAGGAGGCUUCGGCUUCCGCAACGGGAUGGGCCCGCGGCCCAUUAGCUUGUUGGUGGGGUAACGGCCUACCAAGGCUCCGAUGGGUAGCUGGUCUGAGAGGACGAUCAGCCACACUGGGACUGAGACACGGCCCAGACUCCUACGGGAGGCAGCAGUGGGGAAUCUUGCGCAAUGCGCGAAAGCGUGACGCAGCAACGCCGCGUGAGGGAAGACGGCCUUCGGGUUGUAAACCUCUUUCAGUUGGGACGAAGCCUCUGCGGUUAAUACCCGUAUGAGGUGACGGUACCUUCAGAAGAAGCCCCGGCUAACUACGUGCCAGCAGCCGCGGUAAUACGUAGGGGGCAAGCGUUGUCCGGAAUCAUUGGGCGUAAAGCGCGUGUAGGCGGCUUGGUAAGUCCGCUCUGAAAGCCCGGGGCUCAACCCCGGGAGGCGGGUGGAUACUGUCAAGCUCGAGUCCGGAAGAGGCGAGUGGAAUUCCUGGUGUAGCGGUGAAAUGCGCAGAUA
rnacentral:rRNA from 1 species